AGGAGCUGGCCCCGCCCCUGGGCCGUCGCCCGCCCGGCGGCGGAGUCGGGAGGGGGGCGCAGAACGCGGCGCCUCGCUCCCCACCACUGCACGGAUGGGGAAACUGAGGCACGGAGUACGGCAGCGGCAAAAGGCAAUCUGAAAAAUGGGACUUAAUGGAACACUGGCUGCAACCUUUCAUCUGCAAGUGGUGGCUAAGGGGCUCCAGACUAAAGCAACAUCCAUACGAUUAGGGAGAUAAGCUCCUAACUUGUGGGUGUUUCUAAUGCUACAGUGCAGAUGAUGGGAUACUACACAAUCCGACAGAGGAUCAGCUAUGUCCUGGCUGGAGGCAACACAGUUUAUAAACAAGACUAUACCAGAUGGUGAAAGGGAUCCGCUUUUCCAGCCUACAGUGUUCCUUUAUGAUGGCCAUGCACAGAAAAUGAAUAUUCAGACAUCCACAAGAGCACAUUUCUUAACUCAUUCUAUAUGUAAUUGCAAAGAUUGUGGGUUACAAUUACUGACUGCACAUCAAACAUUGAGGUUUAAGGUAGCAACCUGUGCAUUUUUAGAGCAAACUACUGGGUUUGCUUCUAAAGCUAGAAAUGGAAAUGGAAAUAGCAGCUUAACUGGGAAAGAGGCGUACUUUCCAUUUCAAUGCUGACAGUUACCACUUCCAUUCCAGGUUCUGAAGUGAGUGAAGCAGCAGACUUCAGUGUUCUGU